ACCUUGAGGUGUCCAGUUAGGUUGAGGUUUAUGUGUUAACAUCCCACAUAGGUUAGGCAUAUAAUGAAGGUAAAAUGGUCUUUGUGAAAAGUUAGAAGAUAAAAUGAAGCAGCAGGUGCAAAUGGAUGUUACAGUUCCUUGCUCUGGUGACCUUGUGUUGAUAGGAGGUAGAUAUUAUAUGAUGGGUUGUUAAUGGUGAUGUAAUCGCAACCCGUGGAUAUGCUUUUCUUUGAUUUUUGUUACUCGUCAGAGUUUCUGGGUUCUCUUCAAGAACGGAACAACUACAGAAGUUGAAGAACACGCACAAAUACAAAUAUAAUCUCUCUUAUGCAAGGAGUGCUGUUUGGUGGUUAACCGGAUUGACUCUGGAGCCCUCCCGGUACAACAACGCAAAAGAAAACAAUAAGUGGAUAAAAUGAUUUUUAGAGAUAAAGUGAAUGAAAAGAAGAAUGAUGGAAAGGAUACAAAUCUGUUGUGGUGGGACUUGGGGUAUGAUUUUGCAUCUCGACAAGAAGUACAAUAAGUGCAUUCAAAUAUAAAAUAACUUUUGAUAUCCUCAAAGAUUGGAACGAUUUCUCCACCUCGUCGCGUGACCAUUUCUUCUGUCUCUAUAUAAAUGUUGUGUCAUUCUAUUCUCUUACCGUAAAUGCAACUCCCUUCUCUCUUUUCCACUGUCAAGAGUCACUCUCUUCUCUCACUCUUCAUUCGUUUCCAGUGUCUGGAGUCUCUCUGUUUCUUCGAUAGCACUGCCACACGCCAAUGACUCAUCUUCGGUUAGAUGUCUAGACUCUUUUUUCUCUUUUCUUCUUUUUCUGCGAUUCAGACUGUGCUUUUGAUUCCCGUGUCUGUGUUCUGGUUCUUUCUUGAACUUGCGUGUUCUUGUUUUCAAGACCGGCUGGUUCUUUCUUGAGUGCCCAUUAUUUCACUUUCAAGAGUGCUGUUUGGUGGUAAACUGGAUUUACUCUGGAACCCUCUCCAAUACAAAAAAAAAAAAAGAAGCUUAAGAAAGCAAAAAGUGGAUAAAGGGUUUUUAGAUGAUAGAUGUAUAAUUGAGGUUGAUGUUGCUCUAUGUCACAUUUCUCGAAAACAGAAACUAAUAUUGUCGGACUGAAAAGUCAAGGAAUUGUUACAUGAAUUCUCUUAUUCAGACAUUAUCACAAUCCUUAUUUUAUAAUACAACUUUUAACAAAAUUAUUAUAAAAUCAUUAUAAUAUAACUAUUGCAUUUUUUAAAUGCAUAUUGUAUAAUUAAUCUUAGCUUCUUUUUUUUUUUUCUGUUUAUAAUUGAUAUUAGGUAAACUAGAUAACACUAGGCAUAAAUGUUUUUUAUUUUUAAUUUUUAAUUUAAGGCAGAGGCGAGCUUAUUUAUAAUCUCACUCACUCCAAUCUUAUUUAUAUUUUUCGAGCUUUAUUUGUCUGCCUCAUUGAGUGUCUGUCUCCCCCUCUCACUUCUGUUCAAAUUCAUUUGUUUUCUUUUUCUUUUUCUUUUCUUUGUAAUCUGAAAUUUCUUUAUUUCUCCACACCCAAUGCCUCCUAUGUCUUUUGUGUUUCUUUUCUUUUCUUGUCUCUUCAAUUCAAGGACGAUUGUGGAAUGCUUUUGUUUCUUUGAUUUUGAAUUGAACUUGAUUCUUUUUUCAAUAUGUCUGAUUCUUAUUUUCUUCUGUUUGGAGUGCAAUGAGACUGGACUCCUUUGCUGUCCUUAUUGUUGUUUUUGAUUCCAGUGUCUGUGUCCUGCGUCUUUCUUGAACUUGCGUUUUCUUGUUUUCAAUACCGGGUGUUUUUCUUUUUUUAAUGUAAUUGAUAGGGAUAUUGAUUGCAUAUAAGAAAAAAGAUGAUGUGGUCAUAUGUGACAUAGGUUAAUAUCAACUGGAUCACUAAUGUUUUGGGUGCAUUUGUGUGUCCAUUAUUUCACUUUUAGGAGUGCUGUUUGGUGGUGAAUCGGAUUGACUCUAGAGCCCUCUCCGGUACAAAAAUGCAAAAGAAAACAAAAAGUGGAUAAAAUGAUUUUUAGAGAUAAAGUGAAUGAAAAGAAGAAUGAUGGAAAGGAUACAUAUCCGUUGUAUGAAUAGUUCUUUCAAUUUUCAUUGAAUCGUGGAUUUUUUAUUUUGUUAGCAUAAUGUGUAUUGCCUAAGCAAUGAUCAUGUUUAUGUAGUAUUCCAGGUGUUGGGACUCUUGGGGUGUGAUCUUGCAUCUUGACAAAAAGUACAAUAAUUGCAAUCAAAUAUAAAAUAACUUUUGAUAUCCUCAAAGAUUGGGUAAGGUUAAGUUUUUGUUAUUGAUUAUUCUUUGUCAAUUGGUGUGUUUAUCCUAAUUUUAUAAAAAAUGUGGUUAUCUUAAUUUUUGCUAAAAUAUUAUUUUUUUAAAACAAUAAUAUGGAUUAUAAUAUUACUUUUUUUAAAAAAAUAAAUUUAUCUUAAUUUAUAUAUUUUUUAAUAAAAAUAAAAUAAAAAUGAUAAGUUAGUCCAUAAAAUGAACUGAGCAUGAAGUAUGUUGAUUUCUAAAAUGAAUUAAGAUAUUUUUUUUAUAGUUAAAUUUAUUAUUUAUUUGAAAAAAUUAUUUCACUUUUUUGUAGGGAUUUGGGGCCUUUUUCAUAUUAUGAAUUUUUUCAUCAAUGGACUUUUUAGGUUAUGGUUUCUUUUGAUAUAAUGGAUUCACAUGUCUCAAUAACUGAACUGUCUGCUUUUUAAGCUUUCCUAUCAGUUUCUGAGUUCUCUUCAGUUGCCUACUCUAAUCUCCGCUUCUUCUGUCUUCAAAGUUUAAGAGCAGAAUAACUAAAGAAGUCAAAGAACCCCAGAAUUAAAAGUUCAAGAGCGGAAUAACUGAACUGUCUGCUUAGGUUGUGUCUUUAUCUAUUUGUGCUUGUAUCUUUCUCACUCUCUGCGUG